GAUCAUGGCCCAGGACGAACGCUGGCGGCGCGCCUAAUACAUGCAAGUCGAACGAGAGCGACCGGUGCUUGCACUGGUCAAUCUAGUGGCGAACGGGUGAGUAACACGUGGGUAACCUGCCCAUCAGAGGGGGAUAACAUUCGGAAACGGAUGCUAAAAUCGCAUAGGUCUUCGAACCGCAUGGUUUGAAGAGGAAAAAGAGGCGCAAGCUUCUGCUGAUGGAUGGACCCGCGGUGC
rnacentral:rRNA from 1 species